AAGAUCAUACUUUAUAGGAUCAAUUCUAUAUGAGUUUGCCGGUUUCUCGCCGAGAUUCUGGGAAUAUUUUUUUCAACCACGAUGAGGAUUUCAGUGUAAGCCUCUGAGGGGGAAGCGGUCCUUAGUUUUUCGAAAGUGCUUAUGCCCGUUCUGGUGGGUUUCCGUGUCCAGAGGAGGCUCACACAGGCUGAGUGGU